rnacentral:rRNA from 1 species
AGAGCGAACGCUGGCGGCAGGCUUAACACAUGCAAGUCGAGCGGGCGUAGCAAUACGUCAGCGGCAGACGGGUGAGUAACGCGUGGGAACGUACCUUUUGGUUCGGAACAACCCAGGGAAACUUGGGCUAAUACCGGAUAAGCCCUUACGGGGAAAGAUUUAUCGCCGAAAGAUCGGCCCGCGUCUGAUUAGCUAGUUGGUGAGGUAAUGGCUCACCAAGGCGACGAUCAGUAGCUGGUCUGAGAGGAUGAUCAGCCACAUUGGGACUGAGACACGGCCCAAACUCCUACGGGAGGCAGCAGUGGGGAAUAUUGGACAAUGGGCGCAAGCCUGAUCCAGCCAUGCCGCGUGAGUGAUGAAGGCCCUAGGGUUGUAAAGCUCUUUUGUGCGGGAAGAUAAUGACGGUACCGCAAGAAUAACGCCCCGGCUAACUUCGUGCCAGCAGCCGC